GGUUAUAGCUCACUGGUAGAGUGCUUGCUUAGCAUGUGUGAGGCACUGGGUUCGAUUCCCAGCACCA
rnacentral:tRNA from 1 species